rnacentral:rRNA from 1 species
GAUGAACGCUAGCUACAGGCUUAACACAUGCAAGUCGAGGGGCAGCAUGUCGGUUGCUUGCAACCGACGAUGGCGACCGGCGCACGGGUGAGUAACGCGUAUCCAACCUACCCUUGUCCAUCGGAUAACCCGUCGAAAGGCGGCCUAACACGAUAUGCGGUUCACAGCAGGCAUCUAAGGUGAACGAAAUGUAAAGGAGAAGGAUGGGGAUGCGUCUGAUUAGCUUGUUGGCGGGGUAACGGCCCACCAAGGCUACGAUCAGUAGGGGUUCUGAGAGGAAGGUCCCCCACAUUGGAACUGAGACACGGUCCAA